rnacentral:rRNA from 1 species
AUUGAACGCUGGCGGCAUGCUUUACACAUGCAAGUCGAACGGUAACAGGCCUUCGGGUGCUGACGAGUGGCGAACGGGUGAGUAAUGCAUCGGAACGUACCUAGAGGUGGGGGAUAACGCAGCGAAAGCUGUGCUAAUACCGCAUGUGAUCUGAGGAUGAAGGCGGGGGACCGAGCAGCAAUGUUUGGCCUCGCGCCUUUGGAGCGGCCGAUGUCGGAUUAGCUAGUUGGUGGGGUAAAGGCCUACCAAGGCGACGAUCCGUAGCUGGUCUGAGAGGACGACCAGCCACACUGGGACUGAGACACGGCCCAGACUCCUACGGGAGGCAGCAGUGGGGAAUUUUGGACAAUGGGCGCAAGCCUGAUCCAGCAAUGCCGCGUGCGGGAAGAAGGCCUUCGGGUUGUAAACCGCUUUUGGCAGGAACGAAACGGUGUCCGCUAAUACCGGGCGCUAAUGACGGUACCUGCAGAAUAAGCACCGGCUAACUACGUG